rnacentral:rRNA from 1 species
AUACGGAGGGUCCGAGCGUUAUCCGGAAUUAUUGGGUUUAAAGGGUCCGUAGGCGGGCCGAUAAGUCAGGGGUGAAAUGCUGUGGCUCAACCGUAGCACUGCCUUUGAUACUGUCGGCCUUGAGUCAUGGUGGAGUGGGCGGAAUAUGUAGUGUAGCGGUGAAAUGCAUAGAUAUUACAUAGAACACCGAUCGCGAAGGCAGCUCACUAACCAUUGACUGACGCUGAUGGACGAAAGCGUGGGGAGCGAACAGGAUUAGAUACCCUAGUAGUCC